rnacentral:rRNA from 1 species
CGUAGGGUGCGAGCGUUGUCCGGAAUUAUUGGGCGUAAAGAGCUCGUAGGCGGCUUGUCGCGUCGGUUGUGAAAAGCCCCGGGGCUUAACCCCGGGUCUGCAGUCGAUACGGGCAGGCUAGAGUUCGGUAGGGGAGAUCGGAAUUCCUGGUGUAGCGGUGAAAUGCGCAGAUAUCAGGAGGAACACCGGUGGCGAAGGCGGAUCUCUGGGCCGAUACUGACGCUGAGGAGCGAAAGCGUGGGGAGCGAACAGGAUU